rnacentral:pre_miRNA from 14 species
GGAGCAGCCCGGCCCAUGCGUGGCUCCGUCUUCCUAUGCAUAUACUUCUUUGAGGGUCUGGCCUAAAGAGGUGUAGAGCAUGGGAAAAUGGAGCCACAGCCGCCUCCACCCACCGGGG